UGCUGGCAACCAGUUCAGGAGAGAGGCCUAGAGCAUGCAAGAGAUAAAGUAGUGAUUGUGUCAUCUGCAAUUCAUCCUGAGGAACUGUGAUGUGAGCACACAUACAUUUAAAUAUUUGAAAAGCAUCCUUUAAAAUGAAUUUCAAAAUGACAAAUAAUCUAAGUCAGAGAAAAAUGCCCCAGUGUUUUCUAUCUCCCUUUUCUCAUUAUGGAGAUAAAUCCCAGAUGAAUCUCCAGACAGCAAGAGGGAGUGGGAAAAAUACUAGUAAUCAGAAGCACAAUAGCAAAAGAAGCGUUGCAGUAACCUGCAUGCCCAGGAAAAUAGGGCCCCAAGUCUUGCCUGCUGCCUACAAGUCUAAGAGUGGAACACAAGAGCCUUCUAGGCUCUGAGGAGGAGGCUGGCCUGAGCCAGGAGGUGGCUAGAUUGGGUGGGGAGGUGGUGAGAGGCUUGUUUACUUCGGAUUUCUUCUACUGAUAGCUUGAACUUCAAGAGAUUUGGAAUUUUGAUUCAGAUUAGCGUUCAAAAGCUAGGCUGUUUCUCACAACCUCAUCCAGCCCACUUAUGCAUGUAAAACUACAGGGGGAAUUUCAGGAAAAUAAGCCCUCGAGGGAGCCUCUCAGCCUUGCUGCCAGAAAACAGUGUAGGAGCUAGCCAGCCAGCAAGUAGAAAUGCCAGCCCUAAUGAAUCUUUCCCUGGUUAUGACCAGAAUCUCAAAGCGCUGAGGGCUGUGGAAGAGACGCAAAGGCCAGUGGAACACUGGGAGUAUUUCUCAGUCUAGGCUUCAGAGGAGAAAGGGGAAUGGAACUUGUGCUCACAGAGAAUCCUUGGAUCAGCUUCUUCGUCAGAGCUAAAGAGUACAGAGGUCAUGGAUUUGGAAAUUCCAGUACCCUAUCCUGCUGCCUAAGCUGCCUGCCUGCCCUUCUGCUGGGUUUGUCUGGGGGCUCUUGCAGGGCAGCAGGGCUUUGCACCCUGCCCAGUCACCCAGCUGCAACGUUAUUUUAAAUGCGAUUUUGUGUGCUGCCUCUAAGAAGGGCUGUGAGAAGUACAGAUGAAAUGAGCGCCAUCACUUUGAGUAGAGCAUCUGCAUAAAUCACUGUCCAGUGCAUUCAUUCCUAGUGACAGAUUAAUUCCUUUCUCAGGUUUUGCUUAAGUGUGUACCACGGAAUACUAACACUGUUCCUCAGAGAAAAGAAAGAGAAGGAGGGAGGGAGGAAGGGAGGAGAGAGAGGAGAGAGACACACACAGAGAGGAAGAAACUCAGAUGUUCCUCUCAGCAGAGUGAAAAACAGAAUGACAGUGUGUUAAAUGAGGAGGGGUUUCAAGUCUGCCCAGCAGAGAAAGCUCACAUGGCAUUUCAUCGGAGGGUAUAGACUGCGGGGGAAUCCUCGCCACUCACAAUGUGUCUUUGCAGCCUGAAAAGGUAUAGGAUGUGGGAUGACACUGCUGGCUAUUCCAGGAGCUCGGCAUUAGUCCAUUCUCAGCCUCCCCUCUGUAAGCAGGGGAAGAAGAUCAUCAUGGAGGGACGACAAAGCAUAUGAUGUGAUGUCACUCAAUUUUAAAGAUGUUAAGGAAAAUAUUCCCCAGAAGUAUUCCUUAGAAAACAGCUCUGAGCAACACACCAAGUUCAUUGAAAUGUUAGCUAGGGGAAGGAAGCCAGGAGGGAGGGGGGAGCAGUUUACCUUCCAGGACUGGUUCCUCCCUGGGCAUGUUUCUGAGCCUGCACCUGAAAAAUGACUGUGAUGGUAUUCGCAGUUUAUCAAGUCUCCCGGCAGAGGUGUCAGGCAUAGAGAACUCACUUGUCACUCCAACAUUUCCUGGCAUUUGCUAACCACCACGAGGAAUGGAGGGCAAAAGGAUUACAGAAUUAAGUGGUGCUGGUACAGCAGCUGGCGAGGGGCUGAGAUUUAGCUGUCACUUUGAAGAAAACUCCAUUUCAUUUUGUGAUCUAGAAGGAGUGAAAGUUAAAACAGGGGGCCAGGCCGGCUUUAUCUAGGUCUGCGGGGAAACUUCAGGGGGACUCUCGGCUUGUCCAGGGGUUUCCAGCUGCCAAUUUGCUCCAUCAACCCAUUUCCUCUCUGGGCAUAGAGGAAAAUCCGCUCCAUCCCAAUAAGAUCCAAUUUCACUGCUACCCUUGCUCGGGGCCCUUGACUCUACUGGAAGGUCCUCCAGGGCCUCUCACAAGUCCAGAGCUGCACCUUUACCUAAAUGAUGCUCCUAGGCAUGUGUGCCUGAUAUGAAUCUGCUUGUCCAUUAAGACCACGUGACUCAACUUAAGCAUCUCUAAGACCUACCUGCUGCCACCAAGAAGUCUUGACCAUGUUACUGAAUAAGUUACUACCUCAUCUGAAAUUGCCUGCUGUGUGCUUGCCACAGGACUGUUAAGUUUCCUGAGGCUGUAGACUGUAAUAUUAUUCAAAAAACUUUAGUGAGAAUCAUCUGUGCCUUAUAGGAUGGCAAGACAGAAGGGAUGAAUAGUGCAAAGUCCUAAUACUCAGAAGAGGGGCUAUCCCAUAGUAUGUAAUCAGUACAUAUGCUCAGGAAAUAAAAGAUUUUUUCCAUGUUUGUUUUUCAUAGCCUACCUGGACUAUGUCCACGGACAUGUUGAAACCUAUCUGUGUAUCAGUACGGCAUGGUGCUUUACUUCUGUGUGUGUGUGUGUGUGCGUUAAUUUGGCUCUUUGAUUACAAUGAAAUAAGUUAUAAUCCCUGGAAUAAGAAGUAAAUGGUCAAACACAACUGGCUGAUAGCACUUUCAGCACAGGACUGAUAAUUCUGCUAUUAGAAACCUACUGUACUCAGUGAAUCCUUAUCCUUCUCUGUCUAUGUAAUUGCUAUUCACCAUGUUUUCAUCCUCGUGACAAGCACAUUUUGAUUUGAAUUUUCAUUAAACAGAAAUUUUCCUCAUGUUCAGCUUUUAGGAGAAAAACAUACAUCACAGUAAAAGAAGCUGGUGUCAGGGAUUUAUUCAAAAGAUUAACUUUCAGGUACCGCUUAUAUUGGUAGAGAUUCAACUCAAUCCUUUGGCAUUUUCUCCAUGAAAAUCCAAAGUGAGAAAUUCAAUGUUCAAAAUGAAACAAAUCGACAUUUUCAAGGCUUAAAAAAAAUGAACCAGUGCAUCAUGUGUCAUGUCAGGCAGGGAAGAAGACAAGUUCUUUAUUGCAAAUAUUUUUAUCUCAAGGGUUAAAAUGAAAAUGAAAGUUUAUUUAAUGCUCAGUUAAUUAGCAAUCCUAAUUAACCAGGCCAUUUGACUUUCAAAAUUCUCUUUUACAUUCAUACACUGAUUCAUUCAUCCAACAUCCUUGGUGCUGAAAGCCAAGAAUGGGGAGAACAACCACGUGGUUCCUCCUCUAAGGGAAACCACAGGCUGGGAAGGGAGAAGACACUGCAAUAAAUAACAUCAAGACCUUAAGUGAGACAGGAGACAACUUGGAACAAAGUUCCAUGGUAGCAUCAGAGACAGGAAAAUGUCUAAGAGAAGGGAACCUCAGUGAACUUUUCCAAAGAAGCAGUUUCAAUUGGACCAUAAAAGAUGAAAAACAACUUCUCAAUGGGAUGGCAGAGAGGAGGAAGAGCUAUUCUAGUUUAAGGUCUCAGAUGUGCCAAGAACAGAAUCAGGUAACUGCAGAUGCCUUCAGGAAGCUUAGCAUCAUUUAUAGUGGAAAGAAGAAAAGCAGGUGGAAGACUGCUCUGAAGCUGUAGGGAUGAUAAAGAUCAGAUCACAAAGAACCUUGCAUGCUGUGGAAGGCUUUUAUGGGUUACUCUAGGGCCAGCAAUGGCCUUCAUCAAGGAUUUAAUUAUUAGGAAACACUGUCCUAUUUCUACCAUCAACUCUUCAUGGUGUUUUUCUGAAUAUUCCGUCUUUCUUUAAUCCCCCUCCACUGAAUGUCUACAUAAUUUAGAGUGUAUAACACACAAUGUAUUCUUUAAUCAUAGAUGGCUUUACUGCUAAUUGAUUAAGUAUUCUCAUCUUGUUUCUACAACUAGGUUAAUACGCACUGUCAGGACAGAGGUUAGGCCUUAAACUUUCCCUGUACAUUUGCAGGAUUCUAUGCAGAGUAGCCACUUCAGAAAUUCCUACUGAUUAAUAUUUAAUUAAUAGAUAAUUAUUUUCCAUUAAUCCACUCUAGCUGCUGAGAUAGAUAUUUAGAAACAAAGCACUAUAUUCUGCUUCAUGUUUAAAGGUACAUGUCAGCUCAAAACCUUCUUUCCAAAUUCAUCAUAGCAACUGAUUCAGCUCCUGUGUUCUCCAAGUCAACCUUCAAAACCUUUAUCUUCAAAUUCUCUUCCCCUCACUGACCACUCUACAAGGAUGAGAAAUUCUAAGCUGCUUUUUAAAAAAGAGUGAUUUUACAUAUUGGCUAUAUAUAUGGCACAUGUACUUCUGAACUGUCCAAUAAACACAGUAAUGAUAGUUGUGAUAAUUUCAAUAUUGAAAUAUUUAUUAGCUAUAAAAUUGUGUCUUUAAAUAAUAUUCAUGUGAGUUCCUCGGUGGUAAGCAGUGACACUGAGUGCCACCUGUUUUAUCUCCCCGGAAGGCAUGCUGAUCUCAAACAAAGCAGGGUGCAGUGUAACCCCGAGCAGACCUGUGAGGGUGGGUUGGCUACGGGUGCUUGUCUCUGAAGGGGAUCCUCAGGAGCUGCUUCUCUGGAUCAAGUUGCUGUGACCCUUCAUCCUUGAAGCGCUCGUUAGCCUCAUCAAGUACAGAAACAGUCAUAGGACAUUAUAGUCUCAG
rnacentral:lncRNA from 1 species